ACCUUACUUGAACAGGAUCUGUUCUAUAGGUUGUACAUCUGUAUCCUUGAAUUCUAAGGAGACAGGAAACCAAGUCUGGUGGAUGACAUAUACCCGCCUGAUCAGAGCGUAAUUAGCGGCUCAUUGGCUCUAGUUUGAAGUCAUUAGGGCAGUAGAGGAUCGUUCUUGACCGGGUUUACCCGGUUGAGAUGGUCAGGCGGCCGUCUGACAGAC
rnacentral:snoRNA from 1 species